GACGGAGGAUGCAAGUGUUAUCCGGAAUCACUGGGCGUAAAGCGUCUGUAGGUGGUUUAAAAAGUCUAUUGUUAAAAAUUGAAGCUUAACUUCAAAGAUGCAAUGGAAACUUUUAAACUUGAGUAUGGUAGGGGUAGAGGGAAUUUCCAGUGGAGCGGUGAAAUGCGUAGAUAUUGGAAAGACCACCAUGGCGAAGGCACUCUACUGGGCCAUUACUGACACUGAGAGACGAAAGCUAGGGGAGCAAAUGGGAUUAGAACCUACCGAGU
rnacentral:rRNA from 1 species